UAUAUGACCACCAUGUUCUGAAGGAUGCCCACAAAGCUGAGGGAAAGGGGAGCCCAUUCAAGUUAAGGAGACGCCAAUCAGGCGAAUGGGAUGGGGCUUGACAAGAUUCUCAGAACGUGGUUGAAGGGUCUGCAAGACCCUUGAGUCUUAUUGAUGAAAGAAUAAAAUCCAUGGGACCUUAACUGGAGGGCCCAAACGUCACUAUAUCCAUGAAAACCGAGCCUUCCACGGAUCUUGGAGAGAAGUGAUUCAGGUGAUAAUCGUGUGAAAUCAACGUGAAUGAUUUCCCUAACGGCUCUACUGUCCCCUGUGCAAAUCAUGGCUUUUCGUUUUUGUGCCACAUCUACCAAAUAUUUGGGGAUGGAGUGAGAGUCAAGUGGUGGCGGAGAGGAUGGGGGAAGAGCCUUUCUAAUAUCUCGGAAGAAGAAAAUAGUUUUUGCACAAAAUGCAUGUGCGUGAAAACAACCCUGUAGAUGGAGCAGAAUGGUGGAGGGUGAUGAAAUGGAGAAUAUUCCAGCCUGGGCAGGAGAACCACAGAUAGACCACGUAGUCAGGAGAAGAGUAAGCAGUGAUGCUGGUGGGGAUAUGAAUGAGGAAGCGGAAGGCAUAGAAACUGUCCACAGUUCCUAGGAAGAUUCCAGGUCAAAGUGCUUCCUGUUCUUUGGCCCAAGAGCCAUAUCCACUUACAAAUGGAAUCUUGAUUAAUUUUCCAUUUGUACUUGGGGCAUUUCCCUAAGCUCUUUGACUAUUCAUGCCCCACUGUUAGCGAAUGCCUCCAGGAGCCCUGAACUCAAAGAUCUUCUCCUAGGGAGGCCUGCCCUGACACCCACACCAGGAAGACGCCCUGCGAGCGACUCUGAUGGCACCAUCUAUCUCUUCUCCCUAACACUCUCCCCAUCUGUCCCUUUAGCUGCUGCUAAUGGUGAAAGAACCAGUCUUGUGUCCCCAAAGGACUGGCAUUCCACUCUGGUCUGUGGAUGCUUCAGGACAGCGUGUUCCCUUGUGUCCCCAAGCCACACUGGAACAAGAACAAGAACAAGUACAAAAAUCCUGGACGAACGAUGAGUUGUCUUGGACCAAGAUUGUGCCCCACCGCAGCCCAUGGAUCCACGGACCAGCCAUGUUAGAAGCAUCAGCUGGUGUCUAGAGGAUCCUCAAAGACAGUACUUCUCGUGCUUUCACGGACUCAAGAACCACCUGGGGCAUCUUCAGAAAGUGCAGAUCCUGAUCCCGGAGGUCUGAGAGCCCGUGUUUCUAACCAGCUCCCCAGCGAUGCUGAUGCCCCUGGUCGGCAGAGCGUGCUUUGAGAAGCAGUUCCCAGCGUGCCGAGGAAGCUGGCUGGCUCAGGUGCCCUGCCCUGGGUGAGAGAGUGGGUGACCGACAAGGAAAGAAAAUGACCUGAAAUGGAAAUAAAUGCUGUGUACCACAAUCUCAUUAAUGUCUAAAAUUAGAUUAACGUAAUUAAAAAU
rnacentral:lncRNA from 1 species